AACGAACGCUGGCGGCAUGCCUAACACAUGCAAGUCGAACGAGACCUUCGGGUCUAGUGGCGCACGGGUGCGUAACGCGUGGGAACCUGCCCUUAGGUUCGGAAUAACUCCCCGAAAGGGGUGCUAAUACCGGAUAAUGUCUUCGGACCAAAGAUUUAUCGCCUUUGGAUGGGCCCGCGUUGGAUUAGCUAGUUGGUAGGGUAAAAGCCUACCAAGGCGACGAUCCAUAGCUGGUCUGAGAGGAUGAUCAGCCACACUGGGACUGAGACACGGCCCAGACUCCUACGGAAGGGAGCAGUGGGGAAUAUUGGACUAUGGGCGAAAGCAUGAUCCAGCACUGCCGCGUGAGUAGUGAAGGCCUUAGGGUUGUAAAGCUCGUUUACCCGGGAUGAUAAUGACAGUACCGGGAGAAUAAGCUCCGGCUAACUCCGUG
rnacentral:rRNA from 1 species